CCGAAAAGUCUGAUUUCAGAGCCAAGCCCUCUCUGUGGGAGGAUAUAAGACUGAGAAAUUAUUUCAUUUCUCAGUCUGAACAUUCUUCAGAUUUGCAUCGUGUCAGAGUUCUGCUCUUCUUCUUCAUCUUCAGACUUUGAGCAGUUUAGAUUUUAGAUUUCUACAUUUUUGGACCUUCGUACCUGAAACUUUCUCCACCAACUCUUCGGUAUCUCUCCUGCUGCUGACUCUAGAACUCAUCUCUCUCCUGUCAUUCAGAUAAUCAUGAAGAUCUCUAUCUUUGCCUGUGUUCUGCUGAUCUCUGCUGCCUCCGUGCUCUCUGUGGACGAUCUAGAUGCAAGUGUUCAGAAUUUUAUAAAUCAGCAUAUCAACCAGAACAUGGAUCCUAACUCCUGUGACGCCCUGAUAAAACAGAGAAAAAUCAGUAAAGCCUAUAGUAAUAAGUGUAAGAAGGAGAACUCCUUCAUCAGUGCAACGUAUGGCGAAGUCACAAAGAUCUGUGGGGAUGAAGGAGAGCCGUAUGAAAUAAACAAUCGUAUUCUGAGGAUUAGCCUUAAAAAGUUCACCGUUGUUAAUUGUAAAUGCAAUGACAACCUCACGUUUGACUACUGUGGCUGCAGAGGCUCUCGUCCCAACCUCAGAAUUGUAAUCGAUUGUGAUAACAAUGGUAACCCUGUUCACUAUGAAGAAGGUGUAAAUAUUCUCAACUGAUGAAUGGAUCAGAGUAAUCUAUUACUACCUGAUGAAUCGGAGUAAUCUGUUACUACCUGAUGAACCAGAGUAAUUUGUUACUACCUAAUUAAUCAGAGUAAUAUAUUACUAACUGUUGAAUAAAAGACAUG